rnacentral:lncRNA from 1 species
GAGAUCCUCAAGAAUGCAGUUAUCGAUGACCUGAGGGGUGUGAUUCGUGAAGAGCUCUAAUAACUUUUGUUUGGAAUGGCUGCAAACCAAGUCUCAUCGGCUGCUCCGGUUGCACCUAAUGCCUCCACCAUAGCUAAUCCCCUUGCUAUUAUUGACCCAAUCACUAUUGCUGUUGAAACUGCUAUUGUUGCCACAACUGCUGCUGCUAAUGCCAAAGAUCUUG